CUUGUGGCCAUAUCACAUUGAAACACUGGUUUUUGUAUGUUCACUGAAGUUAAGCAUCAUUAAGCCUGGUCAGUACCUAGAUGGGAGACUGCUUAGGAAUAUCAGGUGUUGUAA